AUUGAACGCUGGCGGCAGGCCUAACACAUGCAAGUCGAACGAGUGGCGGACGUGUGUGUUAUGUCUGGGAAACCGCCUGAUGGAGGGGGAUAACUACUGGAAACGGUAUCUAAUACCGCAUACCAGCAGAUGUGCCCAGAUGGGCUUAGCUAGUUGGUGGGGUAACGGCUCACCAAGGCGACGAUCCCUAGCUGGUCUGAGAGGAUGACCAGCCACAGUGGAACUGAGACACGGUCCAGACUCCGACGAGAGGCAGCAGUGGGGAAUAUUGCACAAUGGGCGAGAGCCUGAUGCAGCCAUGCCGCGUGUAUGAAGAAGGCCUUCGGGUUGUAAAGUACGUUCAGCGGGGAGGCGUUACCCGCAGAAGAAGCACCGGCUAACUCCGUGCCAGCAGCCGCGGUAAUAC
rnacentral:rRNA from 1 species